rnacentral:tRNA from 1 species
GGGUUGGUGCCGGAAAAGAGCAACGGACCGGGCUGUAACCCCGCAGUCGGGCUUCGUCCCGUGGAGGUUCAAAUCCUUCCCAACCCACCA